CACCUCGUUGAGGUUUCCCCUGCCGCCCUCCUCUCCGCACAGGGACGCGCCCUGGUUCUGCGGUGGAGACGGGGCGCCGGGAUGCUCGUGAGAAGCGAGCCGGAGGGACAGGCCCCCUGGAGGUGAGCCCGGCGCCCCGCCUCCUGCGCGCCCCACCUCCCGCCGGCAGCCGCCCCCCCAGCCGCUUGACAGGGCGCAUCUUCCCUCUUCCGACGUGGCCGCGGGGCUCGUCGUGGGGUCCCCCCCCCCCACCCGCCGCCCUGGGCCCGGCCGCGUCUGCCACACGCGGCACCUCGCACACGUGCCGGUCUGCGCGCUGCCUCCGCUCCGCCCGGCGCCCGGCUCCCUCCCCGCAGCUCUCACAGUGCCCGCCUUGCAGAGGAGGAAACUGAGGCUCAGAGAGGGUGAGUGACAUGCCUGAGGCCGCUCAGCUAAUGCCCAGCAGAGCUGGGACUUGAGCCCAUGUCAUUCUGCUCUAGAAGCUGCGCUGUGACCAUGGGCUGCCCCCUGAGGCCAUCCGUGUUUGUCCACCACGCAGGGGCACGCAUAGCUGUGUGCUGGACAAAUAAAUGGCCGUCUGAGCUCGAGCUUCUCUCCCCUGCACGGGCCGGGCGAGUGGGCGGCUGCUUCUCUUUCUGGACUCUGCGCCCCGGAGGCCAGUGUGCUGCCCAUGCCCGUCUGUGUCCUGGUAUGCAGCAGGUGCUCGGUAAGUGUUUCUGGAGUAAAUAACUGGAUCAGUCAAUUCACAAACUUCUCUUGGGCCCGGCUUGUGCUUCUCUGCUACAGGCUCCUUCCUUGGCAAGGGUGGGGGCACCUGCAGCUCAGUGUCCCUAGUGCUGAGCACGUGGCCUGGCUCCCAGUGGGUGUGCUGGAAAGUUCUCUGAGGUUCAGCCAUGACUUAUUCACAAGCCUCGCCCUAAGCUGGCUGGGGCUCCUGCCUCAGAGCCACGAGCCCACCUGGGGAGGCGUUCAGGGCCCCCUCUAGGCGAGUCUGGUGCAGAGUGAGGCGCUGUCUAGCUCCUCCUCUCUCCCCGGCUCACUCCGGGACUUCUUUCCUGCCCCAGGGCCUUUGCGAGUGCUGCCCUCCUGCCUGGACAUCUCUUCCAGGCUGGCCGCUUUUCUUCCAGGGCCUUGGCUUCCCCAUCACCUCCUCAGAGAGGCCCCUGGCUGCCGCAUCGAGCUGCAGCCCUCAGUGUUGAGUGACCCUCGAGAGCUGGAAACUCAAGUUCGAAGUGUGGGCGACAUUCAAGAUGCGGGCGGCCAGUUCAGCCAGCCCGGGCGCCGCUGCACAGUGAACUCCCGUCUGCUAGGCUGUUCCAGACCCGUCUUCCACAGCAAGCCCGUGUGGUGGCAAGACCCCCGGCGGCAGGGAUGUUUGGUUGGGAACCGGCCCCGCCCCCUGUGGUUGACGACGACUUUGGGGUCCUCGCAGGUUCCGGGUGAGGGAUGACCUGAGAAAGAGGUGCUGGCAUCUUGCCGACACAGCGCCUGGGAGCCUCAGUGAGGAAGGAGCAAGGAGGGACCGUCGCCUGGAAUCCUAACUUGUGGAGGCGUUUAUUCUGACCCGUCAGUUUGGAAGGAGAGGUUCCUGGCCCCCAGGGCUCCGGGGAGAGUUGCUGCGGGACUGCACCUGCUGCACCUCGGCCUCACUGGCUGGCUUCUUGCUCCAGGAAAUGCAGCCCAUUCCUCUGGUCCCUCCGUUCUUCCUACCCCCCCCCCCCCCCCCCCCCCCCCCCCCCCCCCCCCCGCCUCAGUGCCUGCAACCCCAGCCCCGGAAGGGUUUCCUCCAUGGGGGGUGCUCUGAGGACGCUCAGGGGAAUGGAAGGCAGGCAAUGGGGGGUGGGGGCAGAGACUGUCACUGCCUUCCCAAGCUGCAGCCUCUCUCGUCCCCCCUUCCUGCUCGGAAGAUGCUUCCAGCGUGCACCUGCCAGGAACUGUUGCAGAUGCCGUCUGAGAAACCUUCAAAGGAGCGGAACAAAACGUUUAUCCCUGAGGAAACGUCGACAGUUAACUGUUACCUGGGAGAAUGCACAGUCUGGCAGGCAGAGCAACAGGUGCACACGAGAGCUGCUCUACAGGCCGAUGAAGUUAGAAAACAAGUAUAAAAUGAUAAAACCCAGUGUUGGCAGGGAUGUGGGGAAAAUGACACAUCAGCUUCGCUGUAAACAGAUUCAGAUGCUGAAGAUCACUGUGUCUGUGUGAAACAAGGGCUGUGACACUGCACGUACCCUCCAACCCAGCGUUUCAUCUUUUGGCAAAACAUUUUUGUCCUCAGGGACAGAAACAUGCAUAGUGGAGUUAUUUGAAAGUGGGAGAUGGAAAAACCAAAAAUCGAAAAACUCAGAUGCCCCGUGCUAACAUUUGUGGAGCGCUCACACUGUUUGAAAUGCUGAACGUGAUUACUCUUUAAUCCUUACAGCCGCUCUGCAUCUGUGUGUUUAUGAGGCCCUGAGUCAGCCCUUCCCCCGAGGUCCCUCAGGAGGUGAGCGGCAGGGCUGAGGGCUGAACCCAGGCGGCACCACCUCAAACUCGAUGGCAGUGGGGGGUCUCCGCCCCACGCAGUUGCUCGGUAACAUGAAGGCAGAAUUGCCCACCAGAGAGAGGGUGACCUGCAGCUCCGUGGGGUGUGCGGUCACCAGGGUGCGGCCUGGAGACAAAAGGGCUCCUUUGUGCUUCUGCCUGGCGGUAAACACCAGCCACUGCCCGGCAGGCAUGCCCCAGCCUGCGGCUCUGGAAUGUGGGCGAGCCACCAUCCUGACGACCGGCCACUGGUGGCUGGUCUCGAGGUGGCCAGGCCCGGCCUGCAGACCCAGCCACCCGCGCUCUGUGUGUGCCCGAGGAAGGAGCCCAGCCCUUCACACCGCCUCGAUGGACGCUGAGCAGUUGAAGUGAUGCCCAGAACCCCAGUGUCCGCUCUGGGCAGAAGCACCGGUGGCCUCGAGGGUGGAAGUGCUGGAAGGAUGGCGACAGCUCCAGGCAGCUGCGGCUUCAAGGAGGCUGAGACUGUGGAGAUGCUCUGCCUCCUGAGAAGGGGACGGGAGGGGACACAUCCUGGUGGCACGUCCGAGGCUGGUUUUAGCCUGGUGCCUGCGUCUUUACAGCCGGUCCCCCAGCUGCUCAGCCCCUGCUUAGCAGAGCGAGGGCAGGGCUCCGGCUCCGAGCCGCGGGCAGGCAGCGGCGUUUACUGCGUGACUUAUCUCCCACGUGCUCGUUUUCGGAGUCGUCUUCUCUUGGUGGCAGUGACACUCCUUUUCCAUUUACAUGGAUCACAGAGAAUUUUCUUUUAAAAUAAACUUAAGUAAAAAAAAAUAAGUUUCCACAAGGUGCCCUGGCUGACCCCACCCGGCCAAUGAAAUGAGCCUCGCCGACGGGCCUGGCGGGAACCGGUGCGUCUGAGGGCUCCCUGGGUGACUCCGGUGAGCGUCGCGGCGGGAACCUGGCCUGCAGCCUCCUCCCUCAAACUCAUUCGUCCCUCUCCCCGUCAACUUGGCCGCCCCCCCGACCCUGCCCAGUGGCGCAGACCUGUCGUUCUCCAGCCGGAUCUUCCCCGCCUGGGCCGUCUGGUUAAAAUGCAGGCUCUGGUGCCAGUCAGGGGGCCUGAGGUCCUGCAUCUCCAACCCACGUUGCUGACGCUGCCAGGAUCUCAUGCUCGGAUCGGUCGGGGUGUAGACGAACUUUCUGUCUGGACAGACGUUGAAAAUGCGACCAGCUGCAUACCGGCUCCAGGACACACGCACAGACACAGAAGAGGCCCCAGUGUCUGGAUGGCGCGACCCCACGGCAUCUCGGGGUUUCGGGUGUGGACUGACUCUGCUCCCAUUUCAAGCACAAGGCCGUUGUCCAGUGGGCUGGGGUGGGAGUGGGUCAGGGGGGGCUUCCUGUCUCCUUGGUUGCACUUUGGGGACAGACUCACCCUGGACCUCUGUGGACAGGAGGUGAGGGGCCCCUUUCAGCUCGUGGGCCCUUGUCAGACUGACCACAUCAUGUGGCCACCACUCAAGCUGAUUGAAGCCUCAUUUGUAAGCAUCUUCUUCCAUCCCAGCAUGACUCGGGGCCUCCCAGGAAAAACCAGAAACCUGGGUGGGUCCUUGAAGCCCCUCUCCCUCCUCAAGUCUAUGCGUCUGCUCUUGGAUUCUCGCCCAAAACUUCUCAAGCCCGGUUCUCCCAUGGAUGUCGCAACCCCCGGUCCACCUCCGUCUCCUUCCUGGAGGACCACAUCUGCCUCCUCACCCAUCUUCGCGUGCUCUGGGGCCUCUCACACUGUCUCCGCACCUCCCCGAUGAUCAAUCAGGCCCCGUGGCUCUUUCCUGCUGCAAAUGCUCCACGGGACUCUGGGCUGGAUACACGAGCCUGCACACAGGAUAAACCACAUCGCUCUAAACACACACGUGCACACGCACACACACACACAUAAACACACACAAGUGCAAGCCAACUGGGGAAAUCUGAAUGAAGUGAGUGGGUUGUAUCCAUGGCAAUAUCCUGGCUGAUACUGCUCUACAGUUUUGCAAACUGUCACCACUGAGGGGACCAGGUAAAGGUGCGUGGGGUCUCUGCUUUAUUUCUUACAACUGCAUGCAAGUCUACAAUUAUCUCAAAAUAAAAAAAUUAAUUUAAAAUAAGUGCUCCAAAGGCUUCUGCUUGUGCACAGAAUCAAAUCCACACUCCUACUGCAGCCCCCAAGCCCCUCCACGCUCUGGCCCGGCCCACCCCAGCACUCACCUGUGAUCCCCACCCACUCACCCUGGCCUGCUUACCUCCUAACCCUGUGUCCUCCCACCUGAGGGCCUUUGCACGUGCUCUUCCUCUGCUGGGAUGGCUCCCCUCCUCCCCAGGUCCACUUCCCCCAAGUCCUACUUAUCCUUAAAGUUCCAUUUCAAGUGCCAUUUCCUCUGAGAAGCAUGUCCUGCCCAGUGAGAUCCGCCAGGUCUGCCUGUGCAAGCUCCUGCAGCCCCCUGUGCCUGUCCUUCGAAGCUCCUAUGCUGUGAUUAUGUGGUCAUUUGAGGGAUUAUCAGAUUAAUGUCCACCUUCCUCUCGAUGGGGAGCUGAUGAGGGCCCAGCACUAAAAAAGCAGCAGACCCUAAGCAGGUGCUCAAUAAAUAUCUGUUGGAUGAAUGAACAAAUGAGCUAAUGAAUGAAAAUCGCC
rnacentral:lncRNA from 1 species